CGGGGCGCUCCCGCACACAGACGCUGCGCAGCGGCCGGAGCGAGUGGGACGCGGCGGCCCGAACCCCCCGCCCUGGACCAGGUAGGGCCGCGCCGGGAUUCCUCCGGUGCUUUCCGGGUGGGAUCUGGGGUGCGGGGGGUGCAGGCGGAGCCGCCGGUGCCGCGGGCAUCGCAGCGCGACUGCGGUCGGUCCAAGGGAAACGCUUUAUCCCCUCCCCUCGGUAUUCAGAUUCCCUGGGUAACAGCAGGUCCCACGCGGUGGCCCCGUCGGGCAGAGCCGCACGGGCACCGGGCCGGGGCCGGGUCAGCGGCGCAUCCGCAGCGUGGUCCCGGCCGGAGGGAUGAUGCUCGGUCCCCCCGGGCUCCGCCGGCAGCCCCGGCCCCGCUGACAUGAACUGAUGCUCCGCUUGUCUGUAUCUGAAUUUUAUUUUUCAGAAGCCUCAUCAGGAAUAGGGCUCGGGACAGGUAAAUGGAUUCUUGCCUCAUUGCUCCUGGAAGGAAAUGGAGCCAAAUUCUGGCCCGCUUCUUUGUCUUGAAACCACCCUUUCCUCCUACACCUGAUGAUCUUAGGUAGGGGGUUAGAGGAGAGGCUGGGCCAGGCUCCCCCCAGCACAGCCCUUCCCUGGCAGAUGCUCCCCGGCUCCUGCUGGGAGCCAUUUUCUUGCCCUCAUUGUCUCGCUGCCUUUUGUCUGUGCCAGCACCUCCUGCCCCGGGGAGCCGGGAGGAGCCGAGACAUUGUCAGGUUUUAGUCGCAUCUGGGCUUUGCAGGGAGCUUCCUCCCCCUCCAUCCCCCUUCUGCCGGGGCUGCCCAGCCUGAGGGCUGCAGACAAAGGGAGGCAGCGCCUGCGCCGCUGCGGCAGCACCGCAGCCGGGGCUGUGCCGGAGCCUGCGCUGUGCCACAGCCGGGGCUCAGCACCGAUGCCACCGAGGGACGGGCAGGGCCGAGGGCAGGGCCACGUUGCCCAUCCUGUGGGAUCUGGGGUGUCCGGAUCCGUAUCCCAGAGAUCUCCACAGUGGAGCAGCCAGCACUGUGCCUGCAGUGUGGCAGGAACACACAUGCAGCUUUCCUGCUGCCCCCACCUCCCUGCUCCUGCCUGCAGUGCUCCCUUCCAACCUCCUCCUCCUCCUCACUCGAGAGGGGUUUAGCCCCUGUUUCACUGUGGUCUGCUCUGCACCAUAUGUGCCACCAACCCAUGUCAGCAGAUCAGGGCUGGCCAUUGCUCACCAUAUGUAAGACAAGUGUUUGGUGAAGUGCUGCCUGCACAGAACUGCUUUUCUCCCCUUUGUCUCCUGGGAUGCUCUCCAUUGCUGCCCUCAUCCUGGCACACACAUCCCACUGCCCCACCAGGCAGGGUCCAGGCAGGGAACCCAUCUGCCAGAUGCUCGAUGGCAGUUUGGUGCCUGUUGCUGCCCAGCCCCAUGGCAGCUGGUUUGUAAAUGCUGCCGGGACGUGCUGUCCCCGGCUGCCCCCAGGGAGGCUUUGUCCUGCGAUGUGCAGCCACAAUGGACCACGGGCAGCAGGAGGUGGCUGAACCGCAGAGUCAUCACGAACCCAGUCCACCGGGACCUGCUGCCAGUGCAACCCAGUUAAACCACAGGGCAGGGGCAGUCUCCGCUCCCAGGGCAGGGACAUCCACCAACAGAAAGUGACAGGGUUUGAGGCAUUGCCACCAUUUCUGGUGUUGUCCUUCCCAGUUCCUCCCCAGCCUGCAAGCGCAGGAGCUGCCUGGAUGCUUCCCUGUGCUCCAGUGCUGAAGGUGUCCUCUCUGGAGCUGCUCGCCUCAGCAGGGAUCUGGCUCUUCCAUUGCCCCAGCUUUGGGCAGAGCCCAGGCACCCUGUGGGGACCAGGAGCGGUGCCAGCAGUGGUGGGGUCAGAGCAGAGGAUGCUGCCUUGGGGCUUCAAUCCCACAGGAUGGGGAGCUGAGGGAGGCUCUGCCUGCCCCUCCUGCCAGGCUCCCCCAGCACGAUGCCCCCCUCGGCUCUGCAUUGCCCUCCCUUGCUGCGGUGCUUGCUUUCUUUUACAGCUGCUAAUGACUGACCUGAGGUCUGUUCACACACAGUCCCCUGCACGGCCCCCGCGGUGGAGCAGCCAUACAGGACAGGGGGACUCUGCACAGCACCCACAUAGCGGUGACCACAGGGGCACAGCCCCAGCUCCUGCCCCAUGCCCAGAGGGGAGCCAGGGCUCCGGCACCACCAUUGCUUCCCCUGCACGGAUGCUGGAGCCAGGCCGGCACAGACAACCCGGUGCUGGCUGCCAUGGGCAGGAGCCACGUGCCCGGGUGCUGCGUGGGACACAGCCGAGGAGGCAACGCUGGGGACACCUGAGGACAUGGGGCUGCAGCGCUCGUUUUGCUACAAGGUGCUGGGUCCCCUCCCCUCCUGCUGCUCCAUCCCAGCCGGAUCCAGAGCACGGGGCCCCUCAUGUGCCCUCUGCAGCAGUGGGCAGGGCAUGGGCAGGAUGAGACCCAUCCUCUUCACUGAAUGCAGUGUGUGAGAAGGGGAAUGGGAUGGGAGAGGAGCUGUACCAGCUCCUCAAGGAGACACAAUGGCCAGAGCACAAAGGGACCGUGGCUCUUCCCACUGAUCCUGCCUGUCCCUCUGUCAGCAAAUCCUGGUGCUUUCUGCUCUGGCAGUGCCGUGUCCCAACAGGGCCCUGUCUCUGCUCUGCUUGGAGCAAACACAUUGUGUACGGAGCAGCUGGGAGCACAGGGAGGGACACAGGCACCGAGGUGCCCAUGGCAUGGCCUCUGUGGGGCUGUGUGGGGUGACAGUGGCCCCAUAAGUGGAUAUGAUCAUUGUGACCAUUGCCCGCUCCAGUGAGCAUCCCCUGAGCAGGCAGGAGGGCUGAGAGCAGACACAGCUUGUGACAGGCAUUACAGCCCCUUGAAGUCCAAAAUAGAGAGGCUUCUUCAUGGGGACCAAGAGGUGAUGCAGGGGGACAUGGGGUGACCUGGUUGCCCCUUUACUCAGCCUUAUUUCUCAGGGUACGGUGCAAUGAGCACUGCUCAGCCACUGCAGGCAGGACAGGGGCUUUCCUCUUCUCCAUGUCGUGGUUUUCCCCCCUCAGGCAGUGGGAGCUCAGUGGAGACCCAGGGCAGCCGUUGCUGUCUCUGCAAAAGCCCCAUUCCUGUAGACCUGCCAUAGCCUUGCGCAGGUAUCGGCAGUGAUGCUUUCACCCCUUCCCUCUCUGCUUCUUCCAGCCCCUUUAGUUCCCUUACCCUGGAGCCUUGCAGUGCAGUGCGGGAUUGCCUCUCCCUGCUGCCCCUCUUCUCCAGCGCUGGGGGUGGGAGACACGUGUUGUGUGGGGCAUGGGCUGCUCGGGGUGUGGGAUGCCCAGGGCUGACCCCUGUGAAGCAGGACUCACAGUACAGGCUAAACCCUCCCCUAACACCUUCCCAACCCUCCCUGCGGUGCAAGCACCUCCUGCUCUGGUGACCCAGAGCCCUGGAUCAAGCAGCCCCAUCCCUGGGGGAGGUGCUGGGGAGGGGGCUGGGCUCUGCAUGCAGCCCUUGCUCCGGUGCUGAGCACUAACCCACUAACCGGCCAGCGCAUGCCCUACUAACCCCGUGUCUCGCCUCCCACUAACCCCGGCCAGUGCUGGCUUCAAAGGGGAACGGAAAAGCUGGGUCAGUGGUGUGAGAGGUGCUGGUGCAGGGAGGUGAGGCUCCUGGCUCUGCCUGUGGAGCUGCUGCUGACUCGGAGCCUGAAAUGGUUUUAUCAGCAGAAGCUUUUCAGUUCCUUUUUAAGCCAGUGGCUCUGUUCCUGACGUUCCUGAACCGAAUUAAACCAACUAACCCUGCUGCUUUUCUCUUCAUUUCUCUUCCAGUGUGUGUCCUCUAAGACCGCCUGUGCCAUGCUUCUGUCACUAACCGCCUGUACUAACUGCUCCUGAUUGUUCCUCCACUGCUACUAACAAAUACUCUUUGCACUUUAACUCUCGGGCGCUCUUUGCCAUGACACGAACAGUGGCCUCCUCCUGGAGCCCUGGGCUCCAGUGCUGCUGAGCAUCUUUGUCUCCCAUGGAAAGGAAGAUGCUCAGGCUGGGGGGGCUUUGGAAAUUUCCCUAUUGGCCUUUUGUUUUCCAAGAAAUUUCAUGUGUCUAAAUGAGGAAAAGAGCCUGAGUGGAAAAAAGACAAUGUGGAAACUGUUCAUAACAAUUGGUAAUGGCCACAAAGGUCCAGCAAAACCCAGGCUGCAGAAAGAUGGAGGCAAAGAGCGAUGCUAUUGCCAUGAGCCCCACCAGAGCCGAGCCUGGGGCUCUCCUGGGGUCCCAGUUCAGCAGUCAUGGGGAAUGGUCUCGUGCUGCUCCCGCCGGGCUCCUCUCUUCACUCCCUUUGUCUCUCCACAGUUGUUCUUGUGCCUCUGAUGCAUGCGGGAGCUGCCGCCAGCAGUGUGCUCCUCACUAACAGCACGGCGCCGCGGCUGCCUCUGACUGGGGUUGGUACUUGCAGGGUGCCCCGGCCAUGGGCAGGAGCAGGGGGUGCAGAGCUGUAGGGCUGGGCUGGGGGCACAGCCUGUGCUUUGCUUUGUGUCCGUCUGUCAGUGGGCAAACUGCCUCUAACGGGGCCCUCCAGGCUUCAGGCAUCAGGGUUGGUGUGUGUUUGGCACGCAGACAGCAUCAGCAUUAAGCUCUGCCUGUGCCAGCAGCAGUGCUGUGAUGCCCGUGGGGCAGCACCAAGCCCUGCACACCAGGAGUGGAUGGUGGCCCCGUGCUGCUGGCUGGGAUGGGGAUGCUUGACAGGACAUCCCGGACCGUGGCUCUGGGGGGACACAGCAGCCGAGUGGAUUAGAGGGGCUCAGCCAAGGGUCAGGGCAGCUCUGUCCAGGGGGAUACAGAGCAGAUGGUGUCCAGCUCUGGCUGCCUUCCCUUGGCUUUGUUUUGUGCUCACGAAGCCCAUGGUGAGGAGCUCCCCAGAUAACCCAGUGUCCUUGGCCAGCUUCCGUCUCACCCAACAGCAGUUCUCCUGCUGCUGGAAGGCAAGGGUAGAGCAGGGUUCCCUGGGCAGCUGGUUCAUCCCAUGACACUGCCCCCCUCCCCUUGUCACCCCUGCUCUGCAACAGCCACACUCUGGUCUCAGUGAGGUCUUGCUGUGCUCAGGGUCCCCUCCCCACCCAGCUCCAUGGCUGCCUGACCCCACCACAACCCGCUAACCACUCACCUCCCUCUGCACUGCUGGGACCAGAGGGUUUGGGGCUGAUGCUGCUGUGAUUGAUGGAAGGGAAGCAGAGCCCUGUUGCAGGCUGGGGCAGUCUCAAGCAGAGGAAUGGGACAUGCUGGGCUGGGCACAGGGCAGGCACGUUCAGGGCUCCUGCACAGGUCAGAAGCAUUGUGAGCACUGGGCUGUGUUGUCAGAGCACUGCCCCCCCAGACCCACUUUCCAAAGCAGCCUUCCAGGCUGGUAAUGGAGGGGAGCAAUGGGACCACCACCAGUCAUGCAGAUGGCCCAGAGGGUGCACUGGGCAGGCAGGACCCCAUGCAGGCAGCGAGGGCUGCCCAUGGACCCCUCAAUGGGGACAGACCCUGGUGCCCCCCAGGCCUGGGGCCAGGUCACCUUAGCAGCAACGUGAGCAGGGGUCCACCCAAGGUGGCCAGAGCCGCCCCUGUUCUGCUGGAACCCCGCUGCUGCCCCACACCCGAUGUGGUGGGGCUGAUGCUGGCAUGGGGCAAGGAUGCUGUGGGGAAGGGGGUCCUGGAGCUGCCUCCAUGGUGCGAGCGGGAGCCCCGUGGGGCCCCACAUCCCUGAGGAUGUCCCCACUGCCUGUAAAGUCUGCUGUGAACAUGGCAAGUGUGCAACCA